UUUUUUUCAGCAGUACCACUCCUGGGAAUUUAUUCCAGAGAAAUGAAAAUUAAAAAAAAAAAAAAUUUACACAGGCAUUACACAUGUGAAGGCACCUCUGCAGAGAUGAUAAAGAUUUCUCAAAUGUCUUCAAUGUUGAUUUUUAAAAGAUUUGAGAGAGUAUGCAGUGAGAAGGGCAGAGAGUAAGGGAGACUCUGAAGCAGACUCCCCACCCAGCCGGGCCGAGCCCCACCUGAGGUUCCACACCACAACCUCGAGAUCCUGAACUGACCCAAAAUCAAGAGUAGAUGUUUAGCUGACUGAACCACCCAGGAGCCUCUCAAAUGUUCUUAAGUGUAAAAUCCAUGCUGUGAACCCUUGGGGGUGGGAGGACAGCUGGGACACCCAGUCUACCUAGAAGGGUGGGAGGCCUGGAGGGCCUGAAGGUAGGAACUAAGGAUGUGGGAGGGUGCCUGCAACCCCUUCCCAUCCAGCGUGAGACAGGACCUCUCCGAGCACCCUUGGUCUUCAGGGUGCCAGUUUAAGUGCUGACUGGACCCCCGACCUACAGUGAUGACACGGGACCCCUUGUCGGCGGAACACUGGAGCCCCAGGGUUCCACUGCUGCCUGGCGCUACUCUGCAUUCCCAGGCAGUAGGAGGCACUCGUGCCUGGAUCUGGCUCACAGCGCCCGAACAAGCCCACUCUCCCCAGUACCCCAGUAUAUAAAGUGUAGGUGCUCACACAGUGACAAGUCACAGAAACCUUCAGUCUGCCCCAAGCCCGCAGGAACACUCACUGGAAGGCCCAUCCACCGCCAUCUCGGUGCCACCCCUGAGUUGGGAGACGUCACCCCAAGCAUCAGGUGUGAUGAUUUCUAG
rnacentral:lncRNA from 1 species